UACGUAGGGUGCAAGCGUUGUCCGGAAUUAUUGGGCGUAAAGAGCUCGUAGGCGGUUUGUCGCGUCUGCUGUGAAAACUCGAGGCUCAACCUCGGGCUUGCAGUGGGUACGGGCAGACUAGAGUGCGGUAGGGGAGACUGGAAUUCCUGGUGUAGCGGUGGAAUGCGCAGAUAUCAGGAGGAACACCGAUGGCGAAGGCAGGUCUCUGGACAGUUCCUGACACUGAGG
rnacentral:rRNA from 1 species